rnacentral:tRNA from 2 species
AAAAAGUUAGUUAAAUUAUAACAUUAAUAUGUCAAAUUAAAAUUAUUAGUAUACUAAUACUUUUUG